ensembl:miRNA mir-4932 ncRNA
GUGCAAAAAGGGAUCUGGGAAGGGGGAUCAACGAAAAGGGGAUCUGGCACAGUGCCAGAUCUCCUUUUCGUGGGGCCUCAUAAAUUUUUGAUCUUUUUUAAAUUGUUGAC